rnacentral:tRNA from 1 species
GUGGCUCAGUCGGUAAAGCACCUGCCUUCCAAACAUGAGGACCUGAGUUCAAAUCUCACC